rnacentral:rRNA from 1 species
AAGCGGUGGAGCAUGUGGCUUAAUUCGAGGCUACGCGAAGAACCUUAUCCCGGACUUGACAUGUGCGAAAGCGCCAGCAGGUAGGACCCGGAAACGGGGACGAACGGUACCCAACCCGGAAGCUGGCACAGGUGCUGCAUGGCUGUCGUCAGCUCGUGUCGUGAGAUGUCGGGUUAAGUCCCUUAACGAGCGAAACCUUUACCCUUAGUUACCAGCGGGUUAUGCCGGGGACUCUAGGGGGACCGCCGGUGUCAAACCGGAGGAGGGUGGAGAUG